AGAUACGAAGCAAUUAUUUGCAGCUAGUUUCGACCUAGAAAUUUGACUAUCAAGUCCCUAUCUA
rnacentral:tRNA from 1 species